CGAACCCAGGUCAGGCGGGAUCACCCGCUGAAUUUAAGCAUAUCAAUAAGCGGAGGAAAAGAAACUAAUAAGGAUUCCCUUAGUAACGGAGAGCGAACCGGGAAGAGCCCAGCUUGAAAAUCGGAUGUCUUCGGAGUUCGAAUUGUAGUCUGGAGAAGUGUCCUCAGCGACGGACCGGGCCCAAGUUCCCUGGAAAGGGGCCCAGAGAGGGUGAGAGUCCCGUCAUGCCCGGGCCCUGUCGCACCACGAGGCGCUGUCUACGAGUCGGGUUGUUUGGGAAUGCAGCCCCAAUCGGGCGGUAAAUUCCGUCCAAGGCUAAAUAUGGGCGAGAGACCGAUAGUGAACAAGUACCGCGAGGUAAAGAUGAAAAGGACUUUGAAAAGAGAGUCAAAGAGUGCUUGAAAUUGUCGGGAGGGAAGCGGAUGGGGGCCAGCGAUGCAUCCCGGUCGGAUGCGGAAUGGAGCAAUCCGGUCCGCUGAUCGAUUUGGGGCGUGGACCGACGCAGAUUAAGGUGGUGACCUAAGCCCAGGCUUUCGUUACGCCCGCAGAGACGUCGCUGCCUUAAUCGUGGUCUGCAGCACGCGCCUCACGGCGUGCCUCGGCAUCUGCGUGCUCAGGGCGUCGGCCUGUGGGCUCUCCAUUCGACCCGUCUUGAAACACCGACCAAGGAGUCUGAAAUGUGUGCGAGUCAACGGGUGAGUAAACCCGUAAGGCGUAAGGAAGCUGAUUGGCUGGAUCUCUCAAGGGUGCACAGCCGACCGACCUUGAUCUUCUGAGAAGGGUUCGAGUGUGAGCAUGCCUGUCGGGACCCGAAAGAUGGUGAACUAUGCCUGAGUGGGGCGAAGCCAGAGGAAACUCUGGUGGAGGCCCGCAGCGAUACUGACGUGCAAAUCGUUCGUCUGACUUGGGUAUAGGGGCGAAAGACUAAUCGAACCAUCUAGUAGUUGGUUCCCUCCGAAGUUUCCCUCAGGAUAGCUGGAGCUCGGAAACGAGUUCUAUCGGGUAAAGCCAAUGAUUAGAGGCAUCGGGGAUGCAACGUCCUCGACCUAUUCUCAAACUUUAAAUAGGUAGGACGGGGUGGCUGCUUUGUUGAGCCAUCCCACGGAAUCGAGAGCUCCAAGUGGGCCAUUUUUGGUAAGCAGAACUGGCGAUGUGGGAUGAACCGUGAUACAGGCUGGAAUUCAGGCUAUUCAAAUGAACGGCCAGAGGUUCGAGAACUCGGACUGGACAGAACGGACCGACGGUUAUGGAGCGCUUAGUCGGACGCGAUGGAGAGGAAGUUGGCCGAUCUGGUUCCUGAAACAAAAGAGUGUUAUUUUGAUGAGUUUUUAUGGAUUAAAAAAAAAUGAUGAACUGAAGGAAAACUAAAUGAUAAAUUAAGAACAAUGUUAUGAAUGUUGUGAAACAAGAGAUGAAAUCGUGUUCUGUAUAUCUUAUUUCUGAAUCAAAGUGUUCCCUUAUAUAGGGGAUACAAGGGGUAGAGAAAAGGAAAGUAUCCAAAUCAUAAUCCUAGAGUAAAAAGGAAAACAUCUUAAAGAUAAACAUGGAUAGAUAAAUGGAAACAUCCUAAUGCUAGAGGCGGCCGACUCUCUCUCUCUCUUGGGCCGCCGACUCUCUCUCUCUCUAUGGGCCACGGACAGGCCUCUUGGUUCCUAGCAAUCCACAUUUGUUCAUAACACUCCCCCUUGGAUGCUAGAACCAUAUGGGCUCGUAUCAUGCACGAUGUUGCCUCGUUAAAACCUCUCUAGGAAAACCAAAAACCCAAGGUGGGAAAAAAUGGAAACCAUAGACAGGAAAAAGAGUACAACGCAUGACACUCCCCCUGAUGAAGGCAUCACUGCAGAUCCUUCAGGCGGCGCAUCCCUAUCUGAUGAACCAGCUUCUUGAACGUUGAGGUUGGCAGAGACUUGGUGAAAAGGUCGGCUGAGUUGUCGCUGGA
rnacentral:ncRNA from 1 species